rnacentral:lncRNA from 1 species
GCUGACUUAUAUAAAUCCUGAAACCAAAUUUCAGAAAUCCUUGUAUUGUAGUUCCUGAGAAAAAUGUGACGAAAAUUUUCAACUUGGCUAUCAUGUGUAAAAUCAUACAAGUGUUCGGUAAACAGGAAGUUGUCAAGUGAUGAAUCUGAAAACGCAUCACACAGUAUAGCUGACUUAUAUAAAUCCUGAAACCAAAUUUCAGAAAUCCUUGUAUUGUAGUUGCUGAGAAAAAAUGUGACGAAAAUUUUUCAACUUGGCUAUCAUGUGUAAAAUCAUACAAGUGUUCGGUAAACAGGAAGUUGUCAAGUGAUGAAUCUGAAAACGCAUCACACGGUAUGGCUAACAUAUAUAAAUGUUGAUACCAAAUUACAGAAAGGGUGGAUGUGUAGUUCCUGAGAAAAAUAUGACGAAAAUUUUCAACUUGGCUAUCAUGUGUAAAAUCAUACAAGUGUUCGGUAAACAGGAAGUUGUCAAGUGAUGAAUCUGAAAACGCAUCACCGGUAUGGCUAACAUAUAUAAAUGUUGAUACCAAAUUACAGAAAGGGUGGAUGUGUAGUUCCUGAGAAAAAUGUGACGAAAAAUUUUCAACUUGGCUAUCAUGUGUAAAAUCAUACAAGUGUUUGGUAAACAGGAAGUUGUCAAGUGAUCAAUCUGAAAACACAUCACACGGUAUAGCUGACUUAGAUAAACCCUGAAACCAAAUUUCAGAAAUCCUUGUAUUGUAGUUCCUGAGACAAAUGUGACGAAAAUUUUCAACUUGGCUAUCAUGUGUAAAAUCAUACAAGUGUUCGGUAAACAGGAAGUUGUCAAGUGAUGAAUCUGAAAACGCAUCACACGGUAUGGCUAACAUAUAUAAAUGUUGAUACCAAAUUACAGAAAGGGUGGAUGUGUAGUUCCUGAGAAAAAUGUGACGAAAAUUUUCAACUUGGCUAUCAUGUGUAAAAUCAUACAAGUGUUCGGUAAACAG